GACGAACGCUGGCGGCGUGCUUAACACAUGCAAGUCGAGCGGUAAGGCCCUUUCGGGGGUACACGAGCGGCGAACGGGUGAGUAACACGUGGGUGACCUGCCUUUAGCUCUGGGAUAAGCCUGGGAAACUGGGUCUAAUACCGGAUAUGACCCUAUGGCGCAUGUUGUGGGGUGGAAAGCCUUGUGCGGCUAGGGAUGGGCCCGCGGCCUAUCAGCUUGUUGGUGGGGUGAUGGCCUACCAAGGCGACGACGGGUAGCCGGCCUGAGAGGGCGACCGGCCACACUGGGACUGAGACACGGCCCAGACUCCUACGGGAGGCAGCAGUGGGGAAUCUUGCGCAAUGGGCGAAAGCCUGACGCAGCGACGCCGCGUGAGGGAUGACGGCCUCGGUU
rnacentral:rRNA from 1 species